rnacentral:rRNA from 1 species
CCAGACUCCUACGGGAGGCAGCAGUGGGGAAUAUUGCACAAUGGGGGAAACCCUGAUGCAGCGACGCCGCGUGAGUGAAGAAGUAUUUCGGUAUGUAAAGCUCUAUCAGCAGGAAAGAAAAUGACGGUACCUGACUAAGAAGCCCCGGCUAACUACGUGCCAGCAGCCGCGGUAAUACGUAGGGGGCAAGCGUUAUCCGGAUUUACUGGGUGUAAAGGGAGCGUAGACGGUGAAGCAAGUCUGAAGUGAAAGGUGGGGGCUCAACCCCCGGACUGCUUUGGAAACUGUUUGACUGGAGUGCAGGAGAGGUAAGUGGAAUUCCUAGUGUAGCGGUGAAAUGCGUAGAUAUUAGGAGGAACACCAGUGGCGAAGGCGGCUUACUGGACUGUAACUGACGUUGAGGCUCGAAAGCGUGGGGAGCAGACAGGAUUAGAUACCCUAGUA